AGAUGUGUUGAUACAUGGGGAGACAGAUGGACAUCUGUGGAUUAGGUGAAGGAGGGGUUGAGGUCAGGAGGUGAGGACAGAGAUGUGUUGAUACAGGGGAGACAGAUGGACAUCUGUGGAUUAGGUGAAGGAGGGGUUGAGGUCAGGACAGAGAUGUGUUGAUACAUGGGAGAGGCAGAUGGACACCUGUGGAUUAGGUGAAGGAGGGGUUGAGGUCAGGAGGUGAGGACAGAGAUGUGUUGAUACAUGGGGAGACAGAUGGACAUCUGUGGAUUAGGUGAAGGAGGGGUUGAGGUCAGGACAGCGAUGUGUUGAUACAGGGAGACAGAUGGUCAUCUGUGGAAUAGGUGAAGGAGGGGUUGAGGUCAGGAGGUGAGGACAGAGAUGUGUUGAUACAGGGGAGACAGAUGGACAUCUGUGGAUUAGGUGAAGGAGGGGUUGAGGUCAGAGAUGUGUUGAUACAGGGAGACAUCUGGGUAUUAGAUGAGAGGUUGAGGUCAGGACAGAUUCUCUGAAGAGAGUAAUUUAAUGUUUGGUAUCCUGUUACCCUCUUUAUUAGCUUCCUGUGGAGCCAUGAAAUGUAGGGAUUGGAGAGAAAGGGGAGUGUCUUAAGUAGGAUGUAUAUAAACUGUGAAGUCUGAAAUCUUUAGCUGUCUGAUUUUCUGCUGUACAGAACCUUUGGGAAAUGAUUAAACUUGGUUAAAGCUUCUCUAGAGUCUGAGUUAUUUACUCUGAAAAAUAAGAACCUAACAGUGGUAUGAUAUAAGUCUAUAAUGUAAAGUCCCACUAAUGGUCUCUCAACAACAUAGUCAUGUCCUGUCCCACUAAUGGUCUCUCAACAACAUAG
ensembl:lncRNA